AGUGGAAUAAGUUAAUCUAGACUGGCUGGUUCAUGUCCAGCAUGUAUAUAAUUUAUAUUUCUUCUA
rnacentral:tRNA from 1 species